UAGAUACACCCUACCAUCUCCCAAAACACGCAACUUAUUUCCACAUCAAGCACAACACCUAUAGAAUUCAAUAUGUGGCAACCCACACUACUAGUGCAAGUAUCCCUUAAUAAAAUUUACAACACAGGAAGAAGCAAGGAGACAUAGUACUCCAUUUCCUGUGAGUCUCGAGGGAGGAAGAGAGGCUGCGAAGCACUAUAAAUGAUGCAAUAAUUUUGUGUGGUUGGGGUAGAGGCGGUGGUCAGGCUGUGUAAUACUGGCGAUGCAUCUUCCUUUUCAAACGAGACAAGCGAGCGGUCUAUCCCACACCGGGGAGUGUCUCGGUGCUGCCUCGCCCUCUCAGUGACUGCCAGCGUGGUGGAGUGCGGGCGAGCACGUGAACUCUUAUCUAACCUGCUGCGUAAAAAAAAAAAAAAAAAAAAAAAUUGAAUGCUGUUGUAGUGAUAUUUAUACAUUACGUUCUGUGUAUUGAGUGUGGCGUGGACGUAGGAAAGAUAUUGUGUAAAUGUGUCAUAGAAAAAAAAAAAACAUAAUUGGUGAUAAAAGUUAUUGGAUUGUUAAGUGAAGUGAAUAUUGGCAAGACUACAGCUACUACUACUACUACUACUACUACUACUACUACUACUACUAUACUACUCUACUACUACUACUACUACUAUUGCUGCUGCUGCUGCUUGUGGUGGUGCUACUGCUAGUUGGGGUUUGAUCUCGAGCCAGGUGAUGGAGAAUUCUUCCAGUUCUUCAGCAUUGUCAAAGACAGCCAGGUCGGCCUUCCACACCCCCUCUGCCUCCUUCUCACACAGACCCCUGCACUCCUCCCACGUCAUGUCCUCCCCGGGCCUGUCAAUGACGUUGAAGCAGAGGCCCCCGGACUGUGGAGGGAAGCAAAUAGAAGUGUUAGCGUAAUGGUGGACAGUGGAGUUGAGAGUUGAUUUUGCACAGCUUGUUUUUAGCUUAAUUAGAUAAGAAUGAGGGAAGCAGAAGCGAAGUGUGAAUACACUUAUCAUCCAUGUGACGAAUAGUGUCAUCAGUAGUGUGCCAUCCACUAGCGGACCUUUUACCUUUAAAUACACAUUUGGAAUGGAGGAUUUAUUGCGGAGAUAUAUUAUGAGUUUUAAAGUGAUUUUUUGACAGUGACUGACGAUAAUGCUACUGACUGUCUCUUAUAUUAAAGAAAAUCUUCACUGAGCUGUCACUUACUCAAAAAUUUCAGGUUGGCACUUUAAGAUAAUAUUGCAUAUAUACAUCUAUAUUCAUUAAUGUACUGAUGCCAGUCAUUUGAGAGAUCGUCAAGUUGAAUUAGCUUCACUUUAAACAUGGUGAGGUUUGAGUAAUGUACAUACAUUGCUCGUGAAAUGAAAGACAGUGUUAUAGCUUUUUAACUUAGUGGUUUAUGUCAUGUCUCGUACAGUUCGGGAAGGCAAAUUAAACAUUUACGAAUGUGGUGCUAAAGAGGUCCCAGAGAGACAAGUGUUGAAACUUUUGUUAUGCGGCAUGACAUGGUGCUGCUGUAUAUCGAACCCUUGACACAACACUUGAGGUACACAAUCUCAUAUCUUUA